rnacentral:tRNA from 1 species
UGGCAGACGCACCAGACUCAAAAUCUGGCGAUGGCAACAUCGUGCGGGUUCAAGUCCCGCCUCCG